AGUCAACCCAAUCCCGGGCCUAAAAUCCCGCAAGAGGAUUUAGAUGAAGAGAUUGAAAACCAACAAGGUGUUAUAAUUGCUGAAGAAAUCUUCAACUUAGAAGAAAUUACACAGCAACUAGAAAUGAUGAAAGUUCUACUGUCUUUACUGCUGCUGUGUCUCUACUUUCACAGCGAUGCUCCCUUUGAGAGAGAUUAGACUCAUCAAAAUUUGACAAAGAAAGAAGGU